rnacentral:rRNA from 1 species
CAGCAGCCGCGGUAAUACGGAAGGUCCAGGCGUUAUCCGGAUUUAUUGGGUUUAGAGGGAGCGUAGGCCGGAGAUUAAGUGUGUUGUGAAAUGUAGACGCUCAACGUCUGACUUGCAGCGCAUACUGGUUUCCUUGAGUACGCACAACGUUGGCGGAAUUCGUCGUGUAGCGGUGAAAUGCUUAGAUAUGACGAAGAACUCCGAUUGCGAAGGCAGCUGACGGGAGCGCAACUGACGCUUAAGCUCGAAGGUGCGGGUAUCAAACAGGAUUAGAUACCCUGGUAGUCCGCACAGUAAACGAUGGAUGCCCGCUGUUGGUACCUGGUAUCAGCGGCUAAGCGAAAGCAUUAAGCAUCCCACCUGGGGAGUACGCCGGCAACGGUGAAACUCAAAGGAAUUGACGGGGGCCCGCACAAGCGGAGGAACAUGUGGUUUAAUUCGAUGAUACGCGAGGAACCUUACCCGGGCUUGAAUUGCAGAGGAAGGAUUUAGAGAUAAUGACGCCCUUCGGGGUCUCUGUGAAGGUGCUGCAUGGUUGUCGUCAGCUCGUGCCGUGAGGUGUCGGCUUAAGUGCCAUAACGAGCGCAACCCUUAUCCACAGUUACCAUCAGGUGAUGCUGGGGACUCUGUGGAGACUGCCGUCGUAAGAUGCGAGGAAGGGGGGGAUGACGUCAAAUCAGCACGGCCCUUACGUCCGGGGCUACACACGUGUUACAAUGGGGGGUACAGCAGGCAGCUCGGCGGCGACGCCCGGCCAAUCCCUAAAUCCCCUCUCAGUUCGGACUGGAGUCUGCAACCCGACUCCACGAAGCUGGAUUCGCUAGUAAUCGCGCAUCAGCCACGGCGCGGUGAAUACGUUCCCGGGCCUUGUACACACCGCCCGUCAAGCCAUGAAAGCCGGGGGUACCUGAAGUGCGUAACCGUCCAGGAGCGCCCUAGGGUAAAACCGGUGAUUGGGGCUAAGUCGUAACAAGGUAGCCGUA